AACGAACGCUGGCGGCAGGCUUAACACAUGCAAGUCGAACGGGUGCAACAAUGCAUCAGUGGCAGACGGGUGAGUAACACGUGGGAACCUUCCUAGAGGUACGGAACAACGCAGGGAAACUUGCGCUAAUACCGUAUACGCUCGAGAGAGGAAAGAUUUAUCGCCUUUAGACGGGCCCGCGUCGGAUUAGCUAGUUGGUGAGGUAACGGCUCACCAAGGCGACGAUCCGUAGCUGAUCUGAGAGGAUGAUCAGCCACACUGGGACUGAGACACGGCCCAGACUCCUACGGGAGGCAGCAGUGGGGAAUCUUGGACAAUGGGCGCAAGCCUGAUCCAGCCAUGCCGCGUGAGUGAAGAAGGCCUUCGGGUUGUAAAGCUCUUUUACCAGGGACGAUAAUGACGGUACCUGGAGAAUAAGCCCCGGCAAACUUCGUGCCAGCCGCCGCAGUAA
rnacentral:rRNA from 1 species